UUUCGAAUCGUUCACAAUGGGGGCAACCCUGAUGGCGCGACGCCGCGUGGGGGAUGAAGGUCUUCGGAUUGUAAACUCCUGUCAUUGGGGACUAAUGGCCAGGCUCAUACCCUGGUUUGAAUUAACCCAAAGAGGAAGCAGUGGCUAACUCUGUGCCAGCAGCCGCGGUAAUACAGAGACUGCAAGCGUUACUCGGAUUCACUGGGCGUAAAGGGAGCGCAGGCGGACUCGUGUGUCGGACGUGAAAUACCGGGGCUUAACCCCGGUGCUGCGUUCGAAACUACGAGUCUAGAGACUUGGAGGGGUAAGCGGAAUUCUUGGUGGAGCAGUGAAAUGCGUAGAUAUCAAGAGGAACACCAACGGCGAAGGCAGCUUACUGGACAAGAUCUGACGCUCAGGCUCGAAAGCGUGGGGAGCAAAAGGG
rnacentral:rRNA from 1 species